GACGAACGCUGGCGGCGUGCCUAAUACAUGCAAGUAGAACGCUGAAGCCUGGUGCUUGCACCGAGCGGAUGAGUUGCGAACGGGUGAGUAACGCGUAGGUAACCUGCCUGGUAGCGGGGGAUAACUAUUGGAAACGAUAGCUAAUACCGCAUAAGAGUAGAUAUUGCAUGACAUUUGCUUAAAAGGUGCAAUUGCAUCACUACCAGAUGGACCUGCGUCGUAUUAGCUAGUUGGUGAGGUAACGGCUCACCAAGGCAACGAUACAUAGCCGACCUGAGAGGGUGAUCGGCCACACUGGGACUGAGACACGGCCCAGACUCCUACGGGAGGCAGCAGUAGGGAAUCUUCGGCAAUGGACGGAAGUCUGACCGAGCAACGCCGCGUGAGUGAAGAAGGUUUUCGGAUCGUAAAGCUCUGUUGUAAGAGAAGAACGAGUGUGAGAGUGGAAAGUUCACACUGUGACGGUAUCUUACCAGAAAGGGACGGCUAACUACGUGCCAGCAGCCGCGGUAAUACGUAGGUCCCGAGCGUUGUCCGGAUUUAUUGGGCGUAAAGCGAGCGCAGGCGGUUAGAUAAGUCUGAAGUUAAAGGCUGUGGCUUAACCAUAGUACGCUUUGGAAACUGUUUAACUUGAGUGCAAGAGGGGAGAGUGGAAUUCCAUGUGUAGCGGUGAAAUGCGUAGAUAUAUGGAGGAACACCGGUGGCGAAAGCGGCUCUCUGGCUUGUAACUGACGCUGAGGCUCGAAAGCGUGGGGAGCAAACAGG
rnacentral:rRNA from 1 species